rnacentral:rRNA from 1 species
UACGGGGGGAGCAAGCGUUGUUCGGAGUUACUGGGCGUAAAGGGCGCGUAGGCGGCCACCGCAAGUCGAUUGUGAAAUCUCCGGGCUUAACCCGGAAAGGUCAACCGAUACUGCGGGGCUAGAGUGCAGAAGGGGCAACUGGAAUUCUCGGUGUAGCGGUGAAAUGCGUAGAUAUCGAGAGGAACACCUGCGGCGAAGGCGGGUUGCUGGGCUGACACUGACGCUGAAGUGCGAAAGCUAGGGGAGCGAACGGG